UACGUAGGGUGCAAGCAUUAAUCGGAUUUAUUGGGCGUAAAGGGCGCGUAGGCGGGAUGAUAAGUCAGAUGUGAAAGCCCGGGGCUCAACCCCGGAACUGCAUUUGAAACUAUCAUUCUAGAGGGUAGGCGGAGAAAAUGGAAUUCCACAAGUAGCGGUGAAAUGCGUAGAUAUGUGGAAGAACACCAGUGGCGAAGGCGGUUUUCUAGCUUAUACCUGACGCUGAGGCGCGAAAGCAAGGGGAGCAAACAGG
rnacentral:rRNA from 1 species